CGGGAAAUUGACAUCCGAUUCGGGUGUUGGGGCUGCAAUUUCCCGUUUGUAAUGCAAAAUGACUGAAAAUUGCAAACUUCGCAAGGCUCCAUUUUCCUCCUUUUACAACAUUUCGCAACGAAACUUUGGAAUAUUACUAAUUUUGUGAUGCUCUUUCAAGCUGUGAUGAAAUAUUUGUCUAGACUUGCCUAGAUCAAAAUUUUGGUUAUAAGGGGAAAGGUCUAUUGG